rnacentral:rRNA from 1 species
GGGGAAUCUUGGACAAUGGGCGCAAGCCUGAUCCAGCCAUGCCGCGUGAGUGAAGAAGGCCUUAGGGUUGUAAAACUCUUUCGCCGGUGAAGAUAAUGACGGUAACCGGAGAAGAAGCCCCGGCUAACUUCGUGCCAGCAGCCGCGGUAAUACGAAGGGGGCUAGCGUUGUUCGGAACUACUGGGCGUAAAGCGCACGUAGGCGGGUUUGUAAGUAGGGGGUGAAAUCCCAGGGCUCAACCCUGGAACUGCCUUCUAGACUGCAAGCCUGGAGGUCAGGAGAGGCGAGUGGAAUACCGAGUGUAGAGGUGAAAUUCGUAGAUAUUCGGUGGAACACCAGUGGCGAAGGCGACUCGCUGGACUGAUACUGACGCUGAGGUGCGAAAGCGUGGGGAGCAAAC